AAUUCUCAACCUUAUCAGUUUAUUUCUGAUAGUGGCUUGGAUGGUGGGGGUGCUGGCUCCUUUAUUGAGGUCAGCUCCCCUUAAAUGCAUUAGCUGGUGCCCCGUGUGGACUGUCUAUUGGUGUGAUAAUUAUCUACGCUAUUGAUGUCCUUAGCACUGCUUCUAACGGUCUGUUAAUUUGGACAAUACAAUGACA
rnacentral:misc_RNA from 1 species